GAGCAGCCCCUUCCCUCUCAGCCAAUCACUGGUCACAGCAGUGUCCAGUCUCAGCCAUUGAUUUACAGAAGAGGUCCAGGAGGAGAGGAAAUGAACAAGGGUAGGUGCAAGUUUUAACACGUCUACACCACCUUUUGGCUUGCUGCAUCCUUGCCUACAGCAUCUGAGCUACACCAUCCAUGUGUGCCAACAUGAGUUCAAAUACUGAAGGAGCCAGGGAAUAUGGGAGAACCAAUCCUGAACAGUACAACAAAGCGUGCUCUAUGAUUGUCAGUAGCAAUGUCUUGUCACUCAGAAG